GAUGAACGCUGGCGGCGUGCCUAAUACAUGCAAGUCGAGCGAACAGACGAGGAGCUUGCUCCUCUGACGUUAGCGGCGGACGGGUGAGUAACACGUGGAUAACCUACCUAUAAGACUGGGAUAACUUCGGGAAACCGGAGCUAAUACCGGAUAAUAUAUUGAACCGCAUGGUUCAAUAGUGAAAGACGGUUUUGCUGUCACUUAUAGAUGGAUUCGCGCCGCAUUAGCUAGUUGGUAAGGUAACGGCUUACCAAGGCAACGAUGCGUAGCCGCCCUGAGAGGGUGAUCGCACACACUGGAACUGAGACACGGUCCAGACUCCUACGGGAGGCAGCAGUCGGGAAUCUUCCGCAAUGGGCGAAAGCCUGACGGAGCAACGCCGCGUGAGUGAUGAAGGUCUUCGGAUCGUAAAACUCUGUUAUUAGGGACGAACAAAUGUGUAAGUAACUAUGCACGUCUUGACGGUACCUAAUCAGAAAGCCCCGGCUAACUACGUG
rnacentral:rRNA from 1 species